rnacentral:rRNA from 1 species
AAACCAACAGGGAUUGCCUUAGUAACGGCGAGUGAACAGGCAAGAGCUCAGAUUUGAAAGCCUUUCGGGGCAUUGUAUUCUGAAGCCUUGAUUCUGAGAACCGGUACCUAAGUCUUCUGGAAAGGAGCGCCAAGGAGGGUGAUAGCCCCGUACGGUACUGACCUCAUUGUAGAAUCUUGGCGUGGAGUCGAGUUGUUUGGGAAUGCAGCUCAAAUGGGUGGUAUGCUCCAUCUAAAGCUAAAUAUCUGCGAGAGACCGAUAGCGAACAAGUCUGUGAAGGAAAGAUGAAAAGAACUUUGAAAAGAGAGUGAAAAAGUACGUGAAAUUGUUGAAAUGGAAGGAUAGGCCGCUAACCACGUAGAGCCGUGUCUGAGGGGAGGAUAAAAGCUGUAGAAUGUGGCUCUUCGGAGUGUUAUAGCUGCAGUGCAUACUCCCACUCGGGCGCGAGGACCUAAGGCUCUGCUAAAUGGUGGUCUAUCAC